rnacentral:rRNA from 1 species
ACAGGUGGUGCAUGGUUGUCGUCAGCUCGUGUCGUGAGAUGUUGGGUUAAGUCCCGCAACGAGCGCAACCCUCGACCUUAGUUGCCAGCAUUCAGUUGGGCACUCUAAGGUGACUGCCGGCUAAAAGUCGGAGGAAGUGGGGAUGACGUCAAAUCAUCAUGCCCCUUACUGACCUGGGCUACACACGUGCUACAAUGGGCGGUACAAAGGGUCGCGAACCCGCGAGGGGGAGGCCAAUCCCAAAAAGACCGCUCUCAGUUCGGAUUGCAGGCUGCAACUCGCCUGCAUGAAGCCGGAAUCGCUAGUAAUCGCGGAUCAGCAUGCCGCGGUGAAUACGUUCCCGGGCCUU